UCCACGCCGUAAACGAUGUCAACUAGCUGUUGGUCCUAUUAAAAGGGUUAGUAGCGAAGCUAACGCGAUAAGUUGACCGCCUGGGGAGUACGGUCGCAAGAUUAAAAACUUAAAGGAAUUGACGGGGGCCCGCACAAGCGGUGGAGCAUGUGGUUUAAUUCGAUGCAACGCGAAAGAACCUUACCCCUCCCUUGACAUCCUGCGAAAGUUCCAGAGAUGGAGCUGUGCCUUCG
rnacentral:rRNA from 1 species